UACGGAGGGUGCGAGCGUUAUCCGGAAUCACUGGGCUUAAAGGGCGCGUAGGCGGCUUUGUAAGUCUGUCGUGAAAGUCGCCAGCUCAACUGGCUGGACUGCGAUGGAUACUGCAGAGCUUGAAUUAGAGCGGGGCAGGCGGAAUGUGGCAUGUAGCGGUGAAAUGCAUAGAUAUGCCAUAGAACACCGAUCGCGAAGGCAGCUUGCCAGCUCUAUAUUGACGCUGAGGCGCGAAAGCGUGGGGAGCAAACAGG
rnacentral:rRNA from 1 species